AACGAACGCUGGCGGCAUGCCUAACACAUGCAAGUCGAACGAGACCUUCGGGUCUAGUGGCGCACGGGUGCGUAACGCGUGGGAACCUGCCCUUAGGUUCGGAAUAACUCCCCGAAAGGGGUGCUAAUACCGGAUAAUGUCUUCGGACCAAAGAUUUAUCGCCUUUGGAUGGGCCCGCGUUGGAUUAGCUAGUUGGUAGGGUAAAAGCCUACCAAGGCGACGAUCCAUAGCUGGUCUGAGAGGAUGAUCAGCCACACUGGGACUGAGACACGGCCCAGACUCCUACGGGGGGCAGCAGGGGGGAAUAUUGGAAAAUGGGCGAAAGCCUGAUCCAGCAAUGCCGGGGGGGGGAUGAAGGCCUUAGGGUGUUAAAGCCCUUUUACCCGGGAUGAUAAUGACAGUACCGGGAAAAUAAGCCCCGGCUAACUCCAU
rnacentral:rRNA from 1 species